CUGGCAAUGAAAAAUCUACUUUCUUAAAGCAUGUUUUGCAUUGAGAUUGAAACCUGUUUUUUGGAAAAGCACUCGUUUAAAUGCCGUUGAAAUAUGAAGUUUGAAGAAGCAGCCUAGCUAUUUUGGAGUUUUCAUGCUUAUGCCCCGAAUACUCUAAGAUCCAAAAAAAAUAUAAGAAUCCCAAUACAUUCCCAUUGCUACUUUAUCUCAG
rnacentral:misc_RNA from 1 species